GGCGCGCAUGCGCAGCCGCAGGGCCUCGUCGUCGGGAAAGGUCUCGCACAUGGUCGACAGGAAAUCGCCCAUCGUGUCGGUGAACUGCUGGCACGGAUCGAAAUUCAUGGCUCGGUCGAGGGGUUGUGUGUGGUUCUUGCUUGCUUGCGUGCGCGCGCGGGGCUGUUGGCUCCUUCCUCUCCCUCUCGGUCUCCUCCUCUUCUUUGUUUCUCCCGUGGGCGGCGUGCGUGUGCUCGCCUUUUUUUUU
rnacentral:lncRNA from 1 species